CACGAAGCUCAGUUAUUGACCCGACUUGUCUGUGGUGCGCGCGCACUCUCUCUGCAGUCUAGAACCAUCCUAGCCUAGAACCAGCCAGCACGCGAUGCCGGCUCCUUGUGAUUCCUGUAAAAGUACAUGCAGCGGCGGGAAGGCCGCCUGCGGGGCGCAAUGCACCUGCGGCCCCACCUGUGCGUGCGGCGAUGGCAACAAGCCAUGCUGCCAGGGUGGCAAGUAGAUCUUCACUCUCAACAAUUCUAAACUGUAUCGCAAAGUAAAUCUAUUUUAAUUAGUAUUCACAAAAUUAGCAUUAUGGAAAAUAUAUAAUGUAGCUGAUAUUUAAAGAAUCUAUACUCUAUAGCCUAACGAGAAAUGUUGUGUCGUCAUGAAAUGAAAAAAAUAUGUCUAGAUGUAUUUAAAUUUAUUAUAGCUUAAUGUUUAGAAUAGUUUUUGCUUAUUGGCUAUUACUACCUAUAUGUAAGUGUUAGUGAAAUUUUAUUGUAUUCAAUGUUUAAAUCUAAAUAUAUUCUUGUAAUAAAUGGUCUCUAGUACUUCUAAUACUCAUUAUUUUAAGCUAUAAAUGUAUGCGAGCACGCACACACACAUAAUCGUAUGAGUGUAUGAAUGUAGAUGUAAUAAAUAGGCUCAGAGAA